rnacentral:lncRNA from 13 species
ACUUUUUCAAAGCCCCCAACUGAUUCAAUGUUCAGCUGGGCCUGAAAAGCACCAGCCUUCUAUUCUGAUGACAUCAGAAUCUCCGGGUUAGAACCCCGGGCACCUGUGGUGUCUCAAAUUCCAUGGGAGCUUCUGCUGUGCACGGAAACUCAGGAGCCCUUGAUGUGGAGCCUCGCUUCUCCAAGUGUGGUCCUUGGACCAUGGCAGUAGCAGCAUCACCUAGAAACUUGUCAGAAAUGCAGAAUCCCAGGCUCCCGACCCGCCCAGACCUACUGCAUCAAAGCCUGAAAUUCACAAGAUUCCGGGGUGACUGGUACGCAUGUUGCAGUCGGCCACAGGGUUGGAGAAUUGAGCUGAAGCAGAGUUCCUCUGCCCUGCCGGCUGCCCGUUCUCUCCUCCCUCCUCCCACAGCCUCUGGAAAUGCCAUCUGGGGAGCUGUUCCGCAAAGCUGCAACUUACCCACCUUCACAAGCAAAACACGAACUCCCUGCCAGGCACUGUUCAGAGUGCUUCACGUGAAGUCUCCCACUCAGAAUUCACAGCGAUCCUGGGAGCUAGAUCUGUUCCUGUGCCCGUUUUACAAACUGAGGCAGAGUUUGGUAACUGGACUUGCCUUUGGAACCCCAGCUGCCAUGCUGUGAGGAAGCGCAAGCCAACCCACGUGGAGAGGCCAUGCAGAGAGGUUGUGUAUGGGGUUCUAGUCAAAAGCCUGGCUGAGAUCCCAGUCAACAGUCAGCUGUGUGAGUGAAUGUACCUUUGGAUUAUUCCAUUCCCUGGUUAUCAAGUUACCCCCAGCCUGUCUUCCCAGACAAGGACCUAGAACAAGGCAGCAGAGAUAAGCUGUUCCUACCAUGCCCUGUUCAAAUUCCUGACCCAGACAACUCAUGGGCAGAAUAAAAUGGUUGUUUUGGGUCA